AUUGUUUUUUAUGAUAGAAAUAGCAUUUCUUUAAUUUUUUUCUUUUUUUAAUCGCCAGUGACUGCCAUACCAAACCACGGACUUGGCUCAUUAUAUUUCCAAUUCUAGCUUUUGCUCUCUGGCAAAUGAGUGUCAUAGGACUGCCCAAAAUAUUUCUGAGGAGGUUUAUCUCAGAGGAUAGUCAGAUGAAAGACUGAGAAAAUGAAAAUGGACAUAAAUGCAUUGAUUCAAGUAAAGCAUUUAGAAUAGGCUCUGGCACAUAGCAAGCAUAUAUAAGUACUGGUUAUUAUCACUGUGGCAUUCUAAGAUAAUGUAGCAUAAGAGACUGGAAUAGAACAAGACCAUUGUCCUUAUGAAGAAUAAGUGUUCCAUAAGAAUUCAAAACAAAUGAUCAGAAUUUAGAAGACUUCCAUGAAGCUGUUAAAAAGUGACCAUGGGUGAUAGGCUGAGCAUGUAAAGAGAUCAACCAGUUGGCAGUUGGGAACAUUUCAAAUGGGCUUAAAGCAUUGUUUUGGAAGUGUGAAUAAUGAAGCCAAGGACAUUAGCAACAUCAUGAAAGCAGGGGAGAGCACAGAAGACAUUAAGCAGAUAGAGAAGCCUGGGAGGGCUUCAGCAAGAAGAAAGUGGAAAGGCACUGGAGGCUGGGCCCCAAGCUGGCAGUCAGUGUGUCUAAGGCACUGUUCAAGGUCCUCAUGACAGAUCCCAUCAGAGCCACAUGUGCCACAUCUCUGCUCACUGCCCGGUGCUAGCACAUCCCCAGAUGAGAGGAUGGGACAUUCCACAUGUUGCACACUUCAUGUGCACAUCGUUAUUUCCUGCUGUCACCUCUGUGGCUCUUUAUUCAUAUGAUGAAGCCCUGCCUCUCCAUCCUCCACCCGCUUCUACCCCUCCAUGCCACCUCCAACUUUCACUCCCAGGACUGCCUGUGUCAUCACCUGCAUGGAUUCUUUUCACUUCUCUGCCAGCUUCAAGGUGCUGCCUUGUAAGGUUAUUCAAAUGCUCAUUCUACAUUGAAAUCAGCAUGGAAUGUGUAAUAACAGGAAAGAGAAAUAUACAGACUCUCUGUGCUUGGCAUGGCAAUGUGUCACGUGGCUUGAAAAGGCGUCAAGUGAAUAGAGAAGAUUCUAUGGAUGUAGAAGAGGUCCCUGGGUUUCCGAAUUGCCACUGGAUUGCCUCUAUCAAAUACGCAAGAGUUUCAUGA
rnacentral:lncRNA from 1 species